GACGUAGGGCGCGAGCGUUGUCCGGAUUUAUUGGGCGUAAAGAGCUCGUAGGCGGCUUGUCGCGUCGAAUGUGAAAUCUCAGGGCUCAACUCUGACAUUGCAUUCGAUACGGGCAGGCUCGAGUUCGGCAGGGGAGACUGGAAUUCCUGGUGUAGCGGUGAAAUGCGCAGAUAUCAGGAGGAACACCGGUGGCGAAGGCGGGUCUCUGGGCCGAUACUGACGCUGAGGAGCGAAAGCGUGGGGAGCGAACAGG
rnacentral:rRNA from 1 species